rnacentral:rRNA from 1 species
AUGAACGCUGGCGGCGUGCUUAACACAUGCAAGUCGAACGGUGAAGCAGAGCUUGCUCUGUGGAUCAGUGGCGAACGGGUGAGUAACACGUGAGCAACCUGCCCCUGACUCUGGGAUAAGCGCUGGAAACGGCGUCUAAUACUGGAUAUGAGCUGCGACCGCAUGGUCAGCAGUUGGAAAGAUUUUUCGGUCUGGGAUGGGCUCACGGCCUAUCAGCUUGUUGGUGAGGUAAUGGCUCACCAAGGCGUCGACGGGUAGCCGGCCUGAGAGGGUGACCGGCCACACUGGGACUGAGACACGGCCCAGACUCCUACGGGAGGCAGCAGUGGGGAAUAUUGCACAAUGGGCGAAAGCCUGAUGCAGCAACGCCGCGUGAGGGAUGACGGCCUUCGGGUUGUAAACCUCUUUUAGCAGGGAAGAAGCGAAAGCGACGGUACCUGCAGAAAAAGCGCCGGCUAACUACGUG